rnacentral:rRNA from 1 species
UACGUAGGUGGCAAGCGUUAUCCGGAAUUACUGGGCGUAAAGCGUGCGUAGGCGGCUGCUUAAGUCAGAUGUGAAAGCCCCGGGCUUAACCUGGGAACGGCAUUUGAUACUGGGCAGCUCGAGUUGAGUAGAGGAGAGGGGAAUUUCCGGUGUAGCGGUGAAAUGCGUAGAGAUCGGAAGGAACACCAGUGGCGAAGGCGCCUCUCUGGACUCAAACUGACGCUGAGGUACGAAAGCGUGGGUAGCAAACAGG